ACCAAGGCAGGGACCAUCUACUGUCCUGAAAUAGUCCAGGCUGUAUGGUUGUGCCUGUUCCCCAGCGUGGUUUUGGCCAUUCCCUCCAACAAUUUCCAGGGAGGGCAGAGCCCUUGGGUCACUCUCAGCUGUCAGCGUGGUUGAGGCCGCUGUGUUUUGUUGUGCUUGGAGGUGGAGAGGAGACUUUCUCUACUGGAUGUGACCAGUCAAAAGGAGAGGAGGAGGAAUGACAGUGAGGAGACCAAGGUAUUCGACAGAGCACCUAUGAGCUGAAAUGUUGCAAAUGAUUUAAAAAAUCUUCACAACCGAAAAAUCACUACCAAAGUUGAAAGGAAUAAACCCGGAGUAAGGACUACAGGAUUUGACGAAAAUAAGCCAGUGUUUCACUGCAGCUGCCAAAACUGAAUAGUGGCUGGUUUGUGUCCAGUGAAGAACAGACUUGGACUAAAUGGAACAGCUGCACAAAGAUGUUCAACAUAAUAGCUCACCACUCCGUGUUCCCAUUCAUUCCUGACCAAACCGAGAAGCUUUCAACACCAAAUGACACCUUCCCAAUUUCACUGUGUUCCCACGACAGUUCAGGGCAGUAUCCAAGUGCAAGGAAAUUCCAAGGAUGCUCAGAGGCAUAUCUCAGGGGAGGAGCCUGGAAGAAAAUAUCAGAGAGUUCAUGUUUUAACAGGCUACCCUCAAGAUAAUGGGGACCUCCUGAGCUGAAUAUGAACCCUUGAUCCUCACUCAUGGGAUAAGGUUGGACCUCGCUUGGCCAGUGUUCACUGAUGAGACUGUGGCACCGUUGAUCUUGCAAGCAAAUGGAACUGACUACAUCCGUACUAAUAACCAGCACGGGUCUCAGCUGGCCAUACAGCUAAAUUUUAUGCAUGAUCCCCGGAACAGUUUUGGCCGGUCCCAACCAGUCCUGCAGUCCACAGGGCAGAUAGCUUUGCUGGUGAUGAGGAUGGAUGUGACCAGCCUGUUCUGGGAAGCCACAGAGAUUAAUGAUAAAGGUACAGACCUUUCCAUCUCAUCUGGCCAUCAGGCCAGGGAACGGGCCUUGGCAAUGCUCAUUCUGCUGGCAUAAAGAGAACAGAGAUACUUAAGUGUCUGCUCUAGAAAUUGUUCUGGUAAGAUGGGCUGCACAGGUCACAGUGUUUCAGCUUUUUAUGGGUUUGUUCAGUUCUGUCCCUUCCUGUAUAUGAAGUGCAUUUGGGAACUUAAUUCUAAAGCUGGCAGGGGAAGGGAUGGGGAGGGAGCAGAACGGGUUUUUAUUGGAUCACUUUUCCUUGGGGCUCACGUCUCCAGCUUUCCAAGGACACCUUGCAUCUCACUGCUUUGCUUGAAGCGUGAAGUCAAGGAGUUUGGCAGCAGUUGAGCAAUCAGUCACUCCUCUCUGCUUUAAAACCUUCCCGAAUUCUUUGUUCCAGUAAGAACCACCGUAUUCAAAGUGGGAGAUCACAUCCAGGGUGGAUGCUGAAGGCGGAGUCGCAGACAAGAUUCUGAGUAAAGUUUACAGCUUUUCAAAUGGCUUGAAAUCAGUUCCCUUGACUGAUUCCACCCGUUUCCUCAACUCAUCCCUCCUUUGCCUUUUCAACUGUUUGUACAGAGGGACAGCUACACCUAUACUUUGUAAGUAUUGUGUCCUGGUUCUGUAUCAUAUUUUGGGUCGAACCAGAGGUGAGAUUUCCAAACUGCAGGUAACCCACAUUUUUCAGUAAAUAGCUCUGCUAUUAAGAGCUUCUUACCUGGUGAUUCCUGGGACAGCAUUUCCAAACAAAGCAGGUAAAACCCCUUUCCCUAAGCUGAAUACUCUUGCUGUAAGAUCAGUCUUCACCCCCAAGCAGCUGUAACACCACAUCAGAGCCCAGCUUUCAGCUCCCACCAAACAGCAGUGCUCACUGAAAG